AAUGAACGCUGGCGGCGCGCCUAAUACAUGCAAGUCGAGCGAGAAGACGUAGCAAUACGUUUGUAAAGCGGCGAACGGGUGAGGAAUACAUGGGUAACCUACCCUCGAGUGGGGAAUAACUAGCCGAAAGGUUAGCUAAUACCGCGUACGCUCCUUGGACUUCGGUUCAGGGAGGAAAGCGAUACCGUGGGUAUCGCGCUCUUGGUUGGGCUCAUGUCCUAUCAGCUUGUUGGUGAGGAACGGCUCACCAAGGCUUCGACGGGUAGCUGGUCUGAGAGGACGAUCAGCCACACUGGCACUGCGACACGGGCCAGACUCCUACGGGAGGCAGCAGUAAGGAAUAUUGCGCAAUGGGCGAAAGCCUGACGCAGCGACGCCGCGUGGGGGAUGAAGGUCUUCGGAUUUGUAAACCCCUUUCGGGAGGGAAGAUGGAACGAGCAAUCGUUCGGACGGUACCUCCAGAAGCAGCCACGGCUAACUUCGUGCCAGCAGCCGCAGUAAU
rnacentral:rRNA from 1 species